AGGCGCGUAGCUCAGUUGGUUAGAGCGCAUCCCUCACACGGAUGAGGUCAUCGGUUCGAGUCCGAUCGCGCCUACCA
rnacentral:tRNA from 1 species